AACACAUGUCAAAAUCUAAGAU
rnacentral:siRNA from 1 species